AACGAACGCUGGCGGCAGGCUUAACACAUGCAAGUCGAACGCAUCCUUCGGGGUGAGUGGCAGACGGGUGAGUAACGCGUGGGAACGUGCCCUUCAGUUCGGGAUAACCCAGGGAAACUUGGGCUAAUACCGGAUACGUGCGAGAGCAGAAAGAUUUAUCGCUGAAGGAUCGGCCCGCGUCUGAUUAGCUAGUUGGUGGGGUAAUGGCCCACCAAGGCGACGAUCAGUAGCUGGUCUGAGAGGAUGAUCAGCCACAUUGGGACUGAGACACGGCCCAAACUCCUACGAGAGGCAGCAGUGGGGAAUAUUGGACAAUGGGCGCAAGCCUGAUCCAGCCAUGCCGCGUGAGUGAUGAAGGCCUUAGGGUUGUAAAGCUCUUUCGUCCGGGACGAUAAUGACGGUACCGGAAGAAGAAGCCCCGGCUAACUUCGUGCCAGCCGCCGCCGCAG
rnacentral:rRNA from 1 species